rnacentral:lncRNA from 10 species
AUAUUAAAGAGGAAGCACAUCUUUAGUUUCCAGUAACUGGCAUUUGGUUAUGGGGUGGCUGUUUUUCUACGUGGACCAAGCAGGGUCCCAGUUCAAGUUUCUGCUGCCUAUCUGAUAAUCUUGAGGUAUUUAUGAAGGACUCCUUUGAAAGUUCUCUACUGAGUUUCCUUAAGGAAUUGGAAUAUAUUUAAUGACCUCCACCAUCUCUAAGAACAAGCAGCUAUUUCUGUAGAGAAAGAUCAUCUUUGGAUAACAAUACAUGAUUUUAGGCUCUAAAAGUUAAAACGUGUUUGUAACGUUGAUAUUAUGCAGAGGUCUUGACAGAACUUGGCAGUCUCUGAGGCUACAGAGAAGUGUGAAAAAGAGCAUAGAGAUUUCAGAAGGAGGCAGAUUCAGUCAGACGUACUGAAUCCCGUUUGAUCUCAACUCAGGCACACUCCAGAUGGACGUAUUGAACAGCACACUGGAGUUUUUGUCCAGAAGUUUGACUUUAGAAGAUAAGAAAUAACUGAGCGUAUUACAAGCAGGAGUUAGAGGAAGAGACUCAGUACAGAAGAGACAGGAACAAAAGUUCACCUCCAUUCAAUGGGAAAGGAUACAGAUCAAGAGUUCAGGAAAAGUAGGAGAAAGAAGCUCUAUUCCAGAAGCAGUCUGGAGCACAAAGAAUCCCUAAUCACUGACAUUAAGAAAGAAGAAAAAUAUUCCUAGGACGAUCCUGGAGAGCAAAGGUCAUCAGCAGUCACUUGACUUUCCUUGGAUUUCUCAACUGCAGUAGUCACAUGGUCUGCUG